rnacentral:rRNA from 1 species
AACGAACGCUGGCGGCAGGCCUAACACAUGCAAGUCGAGCGCCCCGCAAGGGGAGCGGCGGACGGGUGAGUAACGCGUGGGAACGUGCCUCUUGCUACGGAAUAGCCUCGGGAAACUGGGAGUAAUACCGUAUGUGCCCUACGGGGGAAAGAUUUAUCGGCAAGAGAUCGGCCCGCGUUGGAUUAGGUAGUUGGUGGGGUAAUGGCCUACCAAGCCGACGAUCCAUAGCUGGUUUGAGAGGAUGAUCAGCCACACUGGGACUGAGACACGGCCCAGACUCCUACGGGAGGCAGCAGUGGGGAAUCUUAGACAAUGGGCGCAAGCCUGAUCUAGCCAUGCCGCGUGAGCGAUGAAGGCCUUAGGGUUGUAAAGCUCUUUCAGUGGGGAAGAUAAUGACUGUACCCACAGAAGAAGCCCCGGCUAACUCCGUGCCAGCAGCCGCGGUAAAGUACAGUGU